rnacentral:rRNA from 1 species
CUAGAGKUUKGAUCCYUGGCSUCAGAUUGAACGCUAGCGGGGAKSUUUUACACAUGCCAAGUCGAACGGCAGSSGCGAGAGAGCUUGCUCUCUUKGCGGCGAGUGGCGGACGGGGUGAGUAAUAUAUCGGAACGUGCCCAGUAGCGGGGGGAUAACUACUCGGAAAGAGUGGCUAAUACCGCAUACGCCCUACGGGGGAAAGGGGGGGGAUCGCAAGACCUCUCACUAUUGGAGCGRCCGAUAUCGGAUUAGCUAGUUGGUGGGGUAAAGGCUCACCAAGGCAMCGAUCCGUAGCUGGUUUGAGAGGACGACCAGCCACACUGGGACUGAGACACGGCCCAGACUCCUWCGGGAGGCAGCAGUGGGGAAUUUUGGACAAUGGGGGAAACCCUGAUCCAGCCAUCCCGCGUGUAUGAUGAAGGCCUUCGGGUUGUAAAGUMCUUUUGGCAGAGAAGAAAAGGUAYCYCCUAAUACGRGRUACUGCUGRCGGUAUCUGCAGAAUAAGCACCGGCUAACUACGUGCCAGCAGCCGCGGUAAUACGUAGGGKGCAAGCGUUAAUCGGAAUUACUGGGCGUAAAGCGUGUGUAGGCGGUUCGGAAAGAAAGAUGUGAAAUCCCAGGGCUCAACCUUGGAACUGCAUUUUUAACUGCCGAGCUAGAGUAUGUCAGAGGGGGGUAGAAUUCCACGUGUAGCAGUGAAAUGCGUAGAUAUGUGGAGGAAUMCCGAUGGCGAAGGCAGCCCCCUGGGAUAAUACUGACGCUCAGACACGAAAGCGUGGGGAGCAAACAGGAUUAGAUACCCUGGUAGUCCACGCCCUAAMCKWUKUCAAMUAGCUGUUGGGGCCGUUAGGCCUUAGUAGCGCCAGCUAACGGCGYSAAAGUUKGACCCCCC